rnacentral:rRNA from 1 species
UACGUAGGGGGCAAGCGUUGUCCGGAAUCAUUGGGCGUAAAGAGCGUGUAGGCGGCUCGAUAAGUCCGCUGUGAAAGUCCAGGGCUCAACCCUGGAAGGCCGGUGGAAACUGUCGGGCUAGAGUCCGGAAGAGGCGAGUGGAAUUCCCGGUGUAGCGGUGAAAUGCGCAGAUAUCGGGAGGAACACCAAUGGCGAAGGCAGCUCGCUGGGCCGAUACUGACGCUGAGGAGCGAAAGCGUGGGGAGCGAACAGG